UUAAGUUCAGCGGGUAGUCCUACCUGAUUUGAGGUCAGAUUUCAAAGAGUGUUGACCACCUCUCCAAAGGUGAGUCGUGGGAGGACACGGAAGGGGAACUUCUCGGUCAGAGCGAGGAUGAUACAACGCCCAAUCGAGUCCGACCCGCAGGUCCAACCGACGCAUUUGAGGGGAGCAGCCUCGCGGCAGCAAGCCCCCAU
rnacentral:misc_RNA from 1 species